AACGGGAAGGGCAAGCGUUAUCCGACAUAACUAGGCGUAAAGAGUUCGUAGAUUGUAAAAAUAAGUUAUUCGCUAAAAAAUUGAAGCCUAACUUCUAAAAAAGCUUAUAAUACUGUUUUUACUUGAGUUUUUAUACAGAAGAAUAGAAUUUUACAAGGAGGGAUAAAAUCUACAGAUAUGUAAAGGAAUACCAAUAAGCGAAGGCAAUUUCUUUAGUAAAAAACUGACAUUGAGGAACGAAAAGUACGGGGAGCAAACAGG
rnacentral:rRNA from 1 species